GGGGGAUUAGCUCAGAUGGUAGAGUGCUGGCUAAGCAUGCGAGAGGUAGCGGGAUCAAUGCCCGCAUCUUCCA
rnacentral:tRNA from 1 species